UACGUAGGGUCCGAGCGUUGUCCGGAAUUAUUGGGCGUAAAGAGCUCGUAGGCGGUUUGUCGCGUCUGCUGUGAAAACGCGAGGCUCAACCUCGCGCCUGCAGUGGGUACGGGCAGACUAGAGUGCGGUAGGGGAGAUUGGAAUUCCUGGUGUAGCGGUGGAAUGCGCAGAUAUCAGGAGGAACACCGAUGGCGAAGGCAGAUCUCUGGGCCGUUACUGACGCUGAGGAGCGAAAGCGUGGGGAGCGAACAGG
rnacentral:rRNA from 1 species